AGAAAGCGGGGAGGGCAGUGGAAGAAUGGAGCCGCCCAGAGAGCAUCUUCAGAUGGGCCAGCUUGCCUGGGAUUCUGCAGAGGCUGGACAGGAUUCCCUGCCAUGUUCAUCUAAAUAUGGGCAAUCUAGGGCUACAUUCAUAGUCAGAACCUGUCUCAGAACAAUAGCUGCUGCUCAUGGACCUUUAAUCUCAGCACAGUGGACUGGACGUGUAUUGUGGAUCGGAGCUGACAGUAAGCAGUCCAGCCCAUCGCCUAGCAUGGUCGCUUCAGUCUCCAACUAGUGGUCUGAAUUAGCCCCUCCUGUCUCUGCAGUCCACAGCCGGCUGAAGCAUCGACCUGGCCAGCUUGGACGCCCAGACAACAUCGCUUGCUGAUAUUUCUUAAAUCUUUCUUGAUUCCUGUCUACGAUGUUCAUAUACUUUAUCUCUACCCCAACCCCACACAUCUUUAUUUCAACUUUUUGUUUUUGUUGUUUAAUCUACUGGGCUUUUAGAGAAAGGUUUCUAAAGAAACAAUGAGACUUUCAUCAGAA